UACGGGGGGGGCAAGCGUUGUUCGGAAUUACUGGGCGUAAAGGGCUCGUAGGUGGCCAACUAAGUCAGACGUGAAAUCCCUCGGCUUAACCGGGGAACUGCAUCUGAUACUGGAUGGCUUGAGAUUGGGAGAGGGAUGCGGAAUUCCAGGUGUAGCGGUGAAAUGCGUAGAUAUCUGGAGGAACACCGAUGGCGAAGGCAGCCUUCUGGGCCAACACUGACGCUCAUGCACGAAAGCGUGGGGAGCAAACAGG
rnacentral:rRNA from 1 species